rnacentral:rRNA from 1 species
UACGAGGGGGGCGAGCGUUGUUCGGAAUUACUGGGCGUAAAGGGCGCGUAGGCGGUCAGCACAAGUCAGUUGUGAAAUCUCCGGGCUUAACUCGGAAAGGUCAACUGAUACUGUGCGACUAGAGUGCAGAAGGGGCAACUGGAAUUCUCGGUGUAGCGGUGAAAUGCGUAGAUAUCGAGAGGAACACCGGUGGCGAAGGCGGGUCUCUGGGCCGAUACUGACGCUGAGGAGCGAAAGCGUGGGGAGCGAACAGG